rnacentral:rRNA from 1 species
GAAACUCACCCGGCCCGGACACCGUUAGGAUUGACAGAUUGAGAGCUCUUUCUUGAUUCGGUGGGUGGUGGUGCAUGGCCGUUCUUAGUUGGUGGAGCGAUUUGUCUGGUUAAUUCCGAUAACGAACGAGACUCUAGCCUAUUAAAUAGUUCACCCUUCCUCAUGUCGAGGGUGCAACUUCUUAGAGGGACAGGUGGCGUUCAGCCACGCGAGAUUGAGCAAUAA